rnacentral:misc_RNA from 1 species
CCUUGACACUAUUAGAGCCCAGCAUGACAAUUGUGUGGCACAAAAGCCAGCAGAUGGAGCAUCAACUGUUCGGAGCGAAGAAAAUAUUAAGUUUGCAAGUGUUGCCUUCUCUCCUUCCGAUGACAAGUGAAAUGCCAUUAGAAGAAUCUCGAUGUGAAACGCUGAUGGAAGAGUCUCAACAAAUUCCUUGCUACUAGGACACUUUGUACAAACAGUUUUUGCCUUAUCAACAAUGAAACCCAC